AAAAUUUUUUUGGGCCCCAGUGUUUUUUGUGUGUUAAAUAUUUCCGCGCGAAGGACAAGAUAUCUGUUUUCUUCGUUUAAGUACCAAAAUUUGGCAUAAAAAUGAGAUAAAGUCCCUGGCAAGCAAUUGUAACGUAUUCGUCUGGAAAAAUUUUAACCCCUAAAGUGGUGCACUAACCGAAAAUUGUUUGGCGACGGGGGGGGGGGAGGUUGUCAUCCUAAAAAAUUUUUUUCCGAAAAAAAAUUUUUAGAUAGGGGCCCCCCAAAAAAAUUUGCCCCGGGCCCCCGCCAACCUCUCGGCGGCCCUGUCUGUACCAGUGUAAGCAGUGUCAAUAAUACAAACAAGCUUUCGUUGGUAGGAAUGCAACUACUUGAAAAAUAUAAGGCAGGACAUUUUUUAAGAAUUCGUCAGUGGAGAGGGGGGGGGGGGCUUUUACAAAAAGGGACCAUACUAUACCGGGUGUGAAGCAAUGAUAGAUGGUUUGUUGGUAACAAAAAGUUUGGUGUAGUAUCGCAUUUAAUAGGGAGCUUUAGAUUUGACUACGAGUACGACUACGAGCAUAGAGAUUAUAAAUAACACUAGAGGAGGCAUUGUAAUCUUAAUUCAGUAAAAAAAAG